rnacentral:lncRNA from 1 species
AAGGCAGAACAACAUGACUGAAGGCGAUGAGGAACAGCUGAUCACCUGUGGAAGUCAUUUGUCCUAAAUUGUCAUGGACAGACCAUGUGCCUUACAGCAAGAAAAUUCUGUGAAUAAACAGGAAGCCAGCCAGCCAGGGAAGAUGCUUUUGUGAUAUAUCCCAGCAUGCUGAUGACCCCAAGGAGGACCACUGGAUACCUAGCAAGGAAAAAGAAGAACUGAUUGAAGAGUGGCAACCAGAACCUCUUGUUCCUCCUGUCCCAAAAGACCAUCCUGCUCUCAACUACAACAUCGUUUCAGGCUUUUUAGUGCACCAUUCAUAAAUAUGAACAGUAUCCAGUAAAUACCAAACAUUUGAAGAAAGGGUCUACAAUAGAAGAGAGAUCAAAACAAAUGAAUAGAACAAAGGAACUUAGAAGAAAUGUCAGAAACAUCUGCGUGAGAAGGGCCCCUCUCAUAAAAUGAAAACAAAGGACAGAAAGCAUUGCUGAGGGCUUAAGGUGUGGAUGAAAUGACACAUUGAAGCUGAAGAAUCCCCAUGUUGACAGCAUUCAAUCCAAGAAAAGCUCCACUGUACACAUGUUCUAACAUAUG